GGGGGGGGGGGAUUUUCUAAGAGGCAAUAUAUUUUUUUUUGUACACCUAUAGAAGAAAUUUUUUUUUUUCUCACUUGAUGGUUGGAAAUAUUUUUUUUUUAAAGGGGGCCUACAGUAAUUUUUAGUCAAGUAAGUAUUGUUUACAUUUUUUGUUAUUGUCGCUACUUGACAUGCGCACCACAGUAUGCAUGCGUUUUCUGUGUGCGAAAGUACUCAUACUCAUGGAUACUGCAUGUAAGAUACAGCCAAACGAAUCUCCGUGGAGUCCCC